GACAGAGGGUGCGAACGUUGUUCGGAAUUACUGGGCGUAAAGCGCGUGUAGGCGGCAAUGCAAGUCGGGCGUGAAAUCCCACGGCUCAACCGUGGAAGUGCACUCGAAACUGCAUAGCUAGAGUCCUGGAGAGGAAGGUGGAAUGCUUGGUGUAGAGGUGAAAUUCGUAGAUAUCAAGCGGAACACCGGUGGCGAAGGCGGCCUGCUGGGCAGUUGCUGACACUGAAGCGCGACAGCGUGGGGAGCAAACAGG
rnacentral:rRNA from 1 species